rnacentral:lncRNA from 1 species
UGUAAAGGGUGGUGACAGAAGUCAGUCUUGCUGUGACAGCUCAUCCCAAGGUGCCAUUUCCCUGAGAAGACAAAUGGGGGAUCACUUCAGUCCCAAUAAACACCCUGAUUCCAAUCCAAGCUUCUGUUCCUACAUGCUGAAAAGGAGGUUCUUUCUGACUAUUUCAUGAAGCUAGCCUUCCCGCUCAUAGGACCCUAGAAUUUUUCACUUUUUUUUCCCCACAAACGCUAAGGUAUUACCUACUCACUCUACCAGAAAAUAAGAACUAAUUUAGCGAUUCCAACAAAACAAAACAAAAAAACAAACAAAAUCUCAACCAGAUAAAAAUCCUCUACUCACUCUACCAAGAAAUAAGAACUAAUUUAGUGAUUUCAACAAAACAACACAAAACAACAACAAAAAACCCCAAUCAGAUAAAAAUCCAAAAAGAAAACUAGCUAAUAUCUUUAAUAGGCAGGAAACCACACUCUACAGAAAAAUACAAGUUUGUUUUUUUUUUUUUCUUUUUCCUGGUCAGAUGCUUUUCUGAGACAGGCCCUUAAAAUUAAAGUUUUAGAAGCAACUUAAUUUUGUUCCUUGAAUGUUAAAAGUGGAAACGAAUCCUUACUUCAGAACCUACCCCUGAGGCAUGAGGAAAUCACACUCAGUAACUCAGCAAUUAUUUUAAGCACCUCUGAAAAUUUCUUAUAAAAUGUUAAUUAGAUCACUAAAUUAAUGAGUGCCUCACAAAAGAAAAAAAUGAUAGUUUUUUAACAAGAUGUUGGAAGAAAGAAAAGGGUCAUUUUGCUCCUCUGAGAUUUGCUAGGAUUCAUUUUAUGGCCUGCUUAGAUUCAAGCUCUUCAUGCAAAAAGGAAGGUGUCAACCCUAUCUACAUGAUAAAAUCAGUGGGUGUGUCAACCAAGACAAAUUCUGACAUAAUUUUAUAUUGGAAAGUAAAAUGAAAAUCUUUAUCAAUAGCAUGGUGUGAAUAGUUUUGUAUAUUCUUUCUAUGUAUAUGUCUAUCUUUCAUUUGUUCCAUCUAUCAUCUAUUUCAUCCAUCCAAUUGCCUCAUUAUCUAUCUAUCCAUCCUAUGUAAUCUUUGUCUCUCUCCCUGCAUCUAUUUAUAUAUAACAUCUAUCUAUCUAUCUAUCUAUCUAUCUAUCCAACCAUCUAUCAUAUCUAUCAUCAUCUAUUUCAUCCAUCCAUCCAUCUACCCCAUCUAUCUCAUCUUUGUCCCUCUCUGCAUCUAUCUAUCUAUCUAUCUCAUCUUUGUCCCUCUCUGCAUCUAUCUAUCUAUCUAUCUAUCUAUCUAUCUAUCUAUCUAUGUCUGUUUUUCUAUUUCUCUAUCUAUCUAGCUAGCUAGCUAGCUAGCUAUCAUCUAUUCCUUCCAUCCAUCCAUCCAUCCAUCCAUCCAUCCAUCCCAUCUAUCUCACCUUUGUCUCUCUCUGCAUCUGUCUAUCUAGCUAGCUAGCUAUUUCUCUACCUAUUAUCUAUCUAUCCAUCCAUUCAUCAAUGCUUUCUUCCAUCUAUCCAUUCAUCCAUCUAUCAUUAGGUAUAACCUAAGUAUCUAUUUAUCUAUACACACAUGCACACACACACACAAACACACAACACACACACACACACACAUCUAUACAUUUGAGUAGUCCAGAUAGGCUCAUUGUGUUUUAACCUACAAUUGAAAUCAUUUUGUUUCCAUUUAAAGUUAUGCAAAGUGUACCAGCAAAGUCAUCCCUAAGAUAACUGUCAUGAUGUCCUCUCCCACUCUUUUGCUAACUUUGUCCAAGUCCUCCCUCCCAUUCCCAUACCUAUAGAUGGUUCCCAUCCCAUAGAUGUCCAUACCUAUCAGUGCUGUUGAAUAACCUUGAUCCUUCAGAAGCUUAGCAAAGGUAAUCUCAUCGGUGGGAAGUCCUCCCGAAGAGGCUGUGAAGAGGAAAACUCCAGUGCGGGACCAAGAUGCCAUUCCUGGACCAGGAAAAAAUCAACCCUUAGGAACCAGGAGAUACCUCGAGGUGGGAGACUGUCCCGAAGGUGACCACAGCCCCUGCGAUGCAGAUAGGAGGUUACCUGAUCGGACAGGGUACCGGCCAGUCAUGAAGGCUGCCCUGCUUGGUGUGCACAGCGGUGAUGCUGCCAGGUGCUGACACCCAGGAUCUCCAAUGCCGAGGUCGUCAGCCAUCACCAGGAUGAUGUUCGGCCUUGAUGCUGCGUGGCUCUCGGCUUCCCACAGAAAGAACAGUAGGAGGAAAGGGAUCUUCAUCUUCCUGUAAAGGACAAGGACACAAAAAGGAACUGAAGGAUGUCAGCUUGAGACAAGGUUCUCCAUUUAGAACCGGAGCUUAUGUUGGCAGCAAAUAUGAGGAGGUUGCUCAACAGGUUUCCCAGCC